GUAUUGCACACGUUAGAUAUUCUCUCGAAUAUUUGCUUAUACCUGUCAAUACUAUAACCAUCUCGACAUCUGGCAGUACUAUGUGUGCUACUACAAUAAAUCACAUUUGUUCAAUGGGGAAAUAGGGUUUCCUCUUCAGCUUCGUGUUGUGACAACGGGUGAAGCUGACCUAGAAGCGCUGUCGGGACGUAUGUAUUACUCGCUGGGUCACAUGACGCAUCCAUCACGCUCUGUUCGCGUAUAACGACCACUUCACCACCCCUGCAAGACGUGUGAGAGGUUUUAGCAGUUCAGUCUGACAGGUGGCGUUUGGAGAUGUUUGUGGAGCAUCGUCUUCACAGGAUGUGACUUUGGCCUUUUCCCUUGUGGCGGGGCAGAAUUUGUGUACCGAGAUACGGCCUCCGUUGCAUGGCAGGAGUGCUGCUGUGCGGCAUCAGAAUUUCCACCAGACACGUGUGGACUACAGUGAAGGGGCCAUGUCUGCUGACUAUUCCCAAAUGAUUAUUCCAAGACGUGCUCGGGACACGAGGUGUGAAAGUGCGUAGACGUUUGCAUUACAUACCGGAAGAGACCCCGCGAUGUUCGAUCAAGCUAGCCAAUAAAUAUCUAGUCCUGG